rnacentral:lncRNA from 1 species
CGAGUCGACCCCAGACAACGUAAAAAGUAAAAUCUUGUAGCCGAGACGUCUCUCGUUGAAGCGGAGACGUCCCCGGAGCGCCUGGGACGCGACUGACAGCUUUUCAGGUUUGGUUUGAAUUUCAAAUCCUUUUUACUUUGUCUCUAACGGCUAUAUUUGCUUUUUGGGCUAUAAAAGGGACCUCUUAAGUGCUUCUCAACAACUCUUCACUAACCCAAAGCUAGAUCAUUCAAAAGAGAAGUAAGAAAGAAAAGUUCAAGGGAGUGAGUGCAUUCAAGUGAAGAAAUCAAGUGUUUUCAAGCUUCCCAAGUGAUUUCAAGCUCAACCACUCUCGUGCGUUUGGGAUUCAAAGCUCACACUCAAUCCUACGCGCUCCACAUCGGAAGAAUCAAUAUCUCCCACGCUUCCAACGGCAAAAGGAUUCUUUCGGGUUCUAUUGUUCAUAAUUGCAAUAUUUGCUUUUUAGAGCUUUUCCUUUCUUUUGUAAACUCUUUCGUUGUGGUGCUUGUUCCAGUCAAGGGACUUGGAACAAGGGAAAGGCAUCCCAAGCCUAAGUGAAAUUGGGGGUUUUAGGGUUUGUUGUGAGCUCGGUGUAAAACAACGAGUUGGGUAGUGAACUCGCAAAACUACCGUACUGUAAUCGUGGAUUAUAGUGAAAAUUCCCAAAGGUGAUUUGGGGAGUGGAUGUAGGAGCAGUGGAAGCUUCGAACCACUAUAAAACCUUGUGUUUGCGAUUGACCUUUCUCAUUCCUCCUUCUUUACUUUAGUGCAUAUAUUCGUGUGUUUUAUUUUUA